rnacentral:lncRNA from 10 species
AGACACCUAAAGGCCUCCGCUAUGUGGGCGGUGACCCGCCCGUGACGUAAGCUCCAGACGCCUGAGAAGUGGAAGGACCCGGCGUCCAGGACAGGAAAGUGCGUGAUUUACAGCUAGAGGGAUAGGCGCUGUCCCGGAGCCCGUCCUGGGCCAGGGAGCAGGAGAGGGAGGGACUACAGUUCCCGACGCGCUGCGGGGCGGGCGGAGAUCGUGCGCUUCGGCGCCAGUUGCACGGCCUUAGCAGCCAGUGGCGGCUCCCCUGCUCCUGUAACAGUCCCCUUGUCUUCUGACCUUUCGCUCCUCGGUCAUGUGUCCUCGCCGGUCGCCGCGGCAGCCAGUGAUGCCCGAGCGGCGGGUUCCCAGGCCCAGGUGUGGGCGCCACCGCCCACCAUGCGCCAAGCCCAGAGCCUGGUUGAAUCGUUCGCCACCUUGUCUACCCAUUUUGGCCAUUAUCCUGCCACCUCCAAAUCCUGUUUUUGACACUUCUCGGGAGAGAGAGAAAACGGAAAGAUAAAGGAAUAAACUCCUCGUGGUCGUAGUUAGUGGGUAAAUUCAGAUCUCGUUUGAACCGAGGUUUUUCUUAUCUCCAGCCACCGUAUCCACCACCACCAGAAUCGUCUUUUUAGUCAUCACAGCUGGUCGCCGUCAGUACCUUGUUCAGAAGCCUCUCGCAGCUUCCAUCGUGUGGUUAUACAAUCCAAAUUCCUUAUAAAGUCCAAAUUCAAGAGGAGGAAUGCACGUUUAGUUAAGUUAAUGUCUAGACCUUACCAGCCAAUUUCUAGCUCCUCAGUAUGGAAAUUGCAACUGAAAACACCCCUUCCAAAAAAAGCAGUCUGCAUUUUUCUCUGAGUUUUCUUCUCCAAAUUUCGCACCCCUGACCUUGCUUACACACUCUGGAUACCACCUGCUGUGGAGUGGCGGAAGCAGACAUCCAGCGAUAGCUAAGUUUCCUGUCGUUGACACCCAAGCAAGACAGGCGUGUACCUAACUGAGGACCUGCCGGUGAUAGAAGUCUCAGCUUUUCUCAGAGACAGAUGAGUCUUCCCUUUAAAUGCUGCAAAGUGCUGCAUAGUAGAUGUUAAAUGAAAGUCAGAAAGAAUCAAAUGUGCUGCAAAUAAUUGAAGGGACUGGGGAGCCACGUGCCACCUCUCCUGCCAGAGUUCUGUUCAGCUGUGCCAACAGAUAUACACAAGGAAACCAGAAGAUAAGAGUUCAACCCAAUGGAAAUAGAUUAAAAGAGUGAAAGUCACUGGUCUCAAAGAAUCUACGGAAUUCAGCAUUUUGGAAAUCACAUAGCAAUUUUGGGUAGGUAUUCACAUGCACUAAAAAACCAGGCAAACAUCCGACUCCCAGGAUAAAGUGACUGAGAGCAGUAGAAGACUUGUUGAGCCGUAAGGAAUAAGAGGAAAAUUAUGUUAUGAAGUGCAGGAACAGCACAGACCCAGACGAGGGGAUGCAGCCCAGAGCCAGUAACCCGGUGCCUCCUCCUCCCCAGGAAGCAGCGCUGGCUGAUCCCCAGAUACCAUGAUCACACCGUCCCAGGUCCUGAGAGCGCCUCAUAGGUAGACAGUUCUUUGGGACUUUUGGGACGCAGCACUUGAAGAGAGGUCUACCUAAACUUUCCUCCUGGGAGCCUGUGAUCAUUUGAAAGUAACAGAAGAAAGUUGUCAGGCUGAGGA